rnacentral:sRNA from 1 species
UCCCAUGACCAAGCUUAUUCUCGUACGUUGGCGCACACGCGAGGCGGUUUUCUGACCGCCCGGCGAUUUGCCACGUGUGCGCUACUCCAAGGCCCUUCAGGGGCCUUUUUUAUUGCCCUUCA